CUCCCGAGUUUAGCUUGGCAGUGUAUAUUUUUUUCAUAUAAUAAAUACACUGCCAAGCUAAACUCGGUAGU
rnacentral:pre_miRNA from 1 species